UUAAAUGUAUUCCCGCAUUAUACUGGUGGGCGACCUAGAACUUAAAAGUAUUCCCGCAUUAUACUGGUGGGCGACCUAGAACUUAAAUGUAUUCCCGCAUUAUACUGGUGGGCAACCUAGAACUUAAAAGUAUUCCCGCAUUAUACUGGUGGGCAACCUAGAACUUAAAAGUAUUCCCGCAUUAUACUGGUGGGCGACCUAGAACUUAAAAGUAUUCCCGCAUUAUACUGGUGGGCGACCUAGAACUUAAAUGUAUUCCCGCAUUAUACUGGUGGGCGACCUAGAACUUAAAUGUAUUCCCGCAUUAUACUGGUGGGCGACCUAGAACUUAAAAGUAUUCCAUUGCUUCCCGUUCUUUCGAGAAAAUUUUCGACAAUUGGCAGAAAAUUUUCUGCCCCGGUUUUUGGUGACUUCCCUGGCGUUGCAUCCUGCUGCCAUCAUCAAUCCUUUGUUUUCUUGCAGCAGACAAAAGGAUUUAAUCAGUUUUCAUUGUGGUGGUAGAGGGUGUCUUUUGGCGGAUGAUUUUCUUUUCUCCUCCUCUCUUGCUUUAUGUCCCAAUUGAUUAGUGGGCAAAGUUGUCUGUUGGGG
rnacentral:lncRNA from 1 species